rnacentral:lncRNA from 1 species
GUAAGGUGCCCAUCCUCAGUUUCUCCAUCUGCGGAGUGAAGAUGAUGACUUCUUAGUGUUGUUGUGGACUCCUGUGAGAUAGCGAGUGUAUAAGCAAGGGCUCAGUGGGUGGAGCUUUCGUUAUUUAUGAGAGAAAAGGCGCUUCUUAGGUGUUCUACAGUAAACAUAUAUGACUUUUAUAAUCAGAAGGGAAAAAUUCCCCUAAUUGUCUCACUUUUCCCACUGCUGUUCUUCGGGGAAUUCACUCGAUAGCUGCUUUCUUCAGUCAACUCACGGCCACCUCGGAAUCCUCACCAGGAGCUGCACCCCAAGCAUGCAGGGUUUCAGGGCCUUGCCAGCUGCUCCCUCGGGCCACUCAGGCAGCUCCCGAACCCGCACCCCUCCCAGAAGUCUUUCCUGAGCACCAGGAGGGAAGAAGGCUGGCUCGUCCCCACCCUGCCCGAAUACAAUGCUCCCACUUCUCUCUUUGCGUGACUUCUCCAAGAAAAUCCCCAACCUCUUUGCUGGGGCUUGACCUCAAGAGGCUGCUUCCUGAUACGGCCCAGCAGCUGGCACGGUUGGCCCUGUGUGCCUCUGCACCUGGCCUCUGAGUCGAACCUCUCAGAAGGAAGUUGAAAUGUCGAGGCCACGGGUCUCCCCAUUGUGGGAUGAGGAGGAAGGCGGUGAUAGCUUUUCAAUCUGCAUGUCCUGAUUUGUCAUGGGAAAGACUUCUGUUGGCCAUUUAAAAACCGCUCAAACAGUCUUAAAACAGCUUAAGAAGUGAUGAAAGGUGUUCGCACUUAACCUGGACCAGCAACCUUGUUCGUGGAGUCAGCCCAAUGCUGGGUAACUUUGGUGGAGAGGAAAUGAGUGUGAAACAACGAUGCGGAUGUAGCUGGAAUGCACCUAGGUUUUCCAAGUUGCUUUGUCCAAGUGUACAUCCAGCUUAUUCCUAAACUGGAAUCAAAUUAGAGAAACCUUUGAAGGAAAAAGUAGGUCAGCAAACAUUUGGAUGCUUACCGUGCACCUGACACUUACAACUCAGUGUACUUGUGAAAUGCUGUGGCUUUAUCUAAGCAAUAAACAAAUCUGGAGAGAUUUUUCCCGCAGAACUUCCUGGUCACAUAUUACACCCACAUGAAGCAUAACAAGGAAGGCUCAGAGAAGAAGGGACUGUCUUGUGGUGCUCUCAAGAAAGGCACACAUGUCUUAGCUCCUGUGGCGUUUCGAGCUAAUCACCCCGGCCCAUAUAGGAAAUGCGAUGGAAUUAAGGAUCAAGAUAAAUUGGAUAUCCUGGCAUCAACCUUUGGUGUUUUUGAAGCUGAUAAAAAAAGAUUUGGUGUGGCAGCCUUCCUCAUCAGUUUGGUAUUUCACUUGUCAUCUUAAACAGGGUAAACAAACCACAGACAUAUUUUUCUUCCCUGCAGAACGGCACCCUUUUUCGAGAUUAGGUCUGGGUUCUGUUCGGCAAUUGGAAUUGAGUAGAACGGAGGUGGGGGAAGCAUUUUUUAAUUCCACCCUCUUCUCAAAUAUUUAAAGUGGAAUAACGAGUAGGUGAGUGACUGUCACAUGUCCACUCUUUUCCAUUCCUGCCACCCAAAUGCAGACCUAAGUCACACUUGUCUUAGGCCACCAUAGGUGGCAUUUCUUCCCAAUCCAUCUUGUCAAGGCUAAAGGCACUGAGAUCACCAAAGGAGAUUCUGAGGAAGAGUAGGGAGAUGGUUUUCGUUCUGCCAAGUCCAGGGCUUGGGUUCUUGUUUAAUGGGAUCUACAAGCCGAGGGUGAAAUGGAAAUGGAGGUUUUGAGGGCCACACAGGGGAAGAGAGAGGAGAGAUGAGGGAUGGCAGGUGAGAGGAACCUUCAUGGGGAAUUUUGGGAGUUGUCAUUGGGUUCCAUGUGAACUGACUUCCCCAUCCACCCAGAAGAUCUUCAGUAAAAUAUCCAUUUCUUGGUACAUUAUCAAGUUGAAUCUCUUUGAUGGAAGAAUUCAUUCAUUCAUUCAACAAAUAUUUAUUGAGAGCCUGCAUCUGCCAGGCAGCGUUCUAGGUGUGAGGAUAAAGGAGUGAAUGAAACACACCCAACACAGGACAACUUGGAUGAAAACAACAACAACUUGGGUGAAUCUCCAAGGAAUUCUGCUGUGGGGGGAAAAGCCGUUGCCCAAGGUUGAUCUCGUGUGAUUCCAUUUAUGUAACAUUUGUGAAAUGACAACAUUUUAGAAAUGGUGGUCGCUAGAGGUUAGGGAUGGGGGUCUUGGUGGGAGAGAGCUGUAGUGAUGACAAAGCAUCAGGAGGGAUCCUUGUGUCAAUGUGGGUUCAGUAUCUUGACUGUGCUUUGGAUACAGGAACUUACAAGUGGGAUAAGAUUGUAUAGAACUACACACACACACACACACAUACACACACACACUAGUACAAGUAAAACGGGAAAUCUAAGAUCCGUGGGUUGAAUCAACGUCAACAUUCCAAUUGUGAGGUCGUACUAAAAUCUUACCACUGGGGAAAACUGGAUAAAGUCCAAGUGGGAUCUCUUUUGUAUUGUUUCUU